ACAAAAGUUGACUUUUAUUUUCACAAUUAAACUAAUAAAUUGUUACAACAUACAUACAUAUGAAUAAAUCCUAUAUUUUCCAUUUUCACAGAAAGAAGAAAUCAUUGAUUGGAACGCAUGCGUUCGUUGUGGAUAGAAUAUAAAUGUAAUAUAACAGGAUCAUCAUGAAUAACAUAUAUUUUUUUAUAUGAAGUAUCAUUCGAACAUAUGCGAAGCACUAUCGUUAAAAAUAAUUAUAAUAAUAAAAGAGAAAUCAAAGAAUACAACACUUUCCAAAUAUAUGUAUAAUAUUAUGUCUUGCUUUAUUGAACGAUAUGCAAAAUACAUAUAUAUAUACAUAAUUUGGUACCCUUGAAAAUUGCAUCCUAUAAUAUGUACUAAAUAUAAAAAUAUCAGGUUUAAACUGACACCUUUUUCAAAACAAUAUUUAAUUUAUGAUCAUUACCGUUGGUGCGACGACGCUACCCACAAGUUCCAUCAUAAAUGCAUUUGAAAAACCGCAAAAUGGUUUUCUUUCAAGAAAAAAAUAAUAUGUACCUACAUCUAGAGAGAGUGAAAGAGAUCCUUAAGGACAAAGAUCCUCUUUCAAAAAACGAAAAGAGACUACUACAUUCCAAUACAUUAUAAUGAAGUUUCUUUUGAUGUUUGUCAAGAAUUCCACAUCACAAUGGGGAUAUUGGACAGACAACAAAAGUCAGAACCACAGAGGAAAAAUCACAAAACCAUACUACUAAACCUAAAGCUCAUUUUCCCCUUAAUGUACACACAUAAUAGAGGCAGUCCUCACAAAAGAAUCCCUUCCCUUAUUUUGACUUCAAAGACCAUUUUUUUAAUAUUAUAUAUUUUUGAGGAAUCUUAUUUAGCACAUUCCUUUGACUAUUGACAGAUCCGUCUUUCUGUGUGUCUAUCUAUGGAUAUUGUAGAGAUGAUGUUCUUGAAGAAAUUCUUAGAAAAUGAUAAAAAAACAAAAAAACAACUAUCUACAUACAUAAAUAGUUAAGAUCUGAACAAACGAAGACCCAUCCCUUCUUAUAAAAAAAAACCAGAACAAAACCAGAGAAAUAUUUUUGAGAUGUUUUUCACCCCCUUCAAAAAACAUGGAUGAUUAACCUUUUUACCUGUCUUUAAAAAGUAUACUAGCCACUAAAUAUAUAUACAUGUUGUUUACAGUCAUACCUUGACAUACGAGUUCAAUUCGUUCCUGGACAGAGCUCGUAAGUCAAAGCAUUUAUCUCAUAAGAAAUAACUAAAAAUAAAAUAAGAAUUUAA
rnacentral:lncRNA from 1 species